UGUAUUUAGUGCAAUGAUCGUGGUUAUAAUAUAACUUCUUGCCUCAAACUCUAUAUUCUGCGUUCCAUCACACUAGCCGAAAUCAUGCAAUACUAUACUGUAAGCCGGCCAGCAACAGUGGCCGCGUCCUAGUUACUGGCCCGCCCAGCUGCAGCAUCACAGGUGAGCAUGGCGGAGUGAUGUCAUGGCCUAGCGACCGGAUAUUAUGCCAGAUGCCGGGAUGCCCGGUACGGACAUGCAGGAAGCCACUGGAACCAAACGGCUUGCGUUCCAGCCGUGGUAUCCUGACCAGGCAUGGAAUCGCAAGUACUGCUAAGUGGUCUGUUUUCCUUUGCAGGGUCUAUGUCUUCUGCCUGUGUGAUCCAGUCCAGGUAACCCUUCAAGUCUUCUUCAAGUUGUUGCUUCUCCCUCAGUUUCUGGAAGUCGCCCCGAGCCUUGGCCUUCUCCCUCUCCUUUGAGAACUCCCUGUAUAUACAGGUAAGAAGGAUCAUUCUAUGGCAGAAGUAGAAAACUUUGCAUCUUCUUACCCACUCAACACUCCGAGAACCAGGUUCAGUACAAAAAACGAUCCAAAGAUGACAAGACUGACAAAGUAAACACACGGCA